AAAAAAAAAAAAGCAGACAUUCCUGCAAUGGGCAGUGGCUGCCUGGCUGAGCACUGCUUUACUCUGUAUCUGACCCAGAUGGAUUAUCUGAGGGUCCCAGUAGAAAUAAAGUCACUGUUGGAGGUAACUUGGGAGCAGAAGCAGAACUAAUAGUGGGUUUAAGAUUUGGGCCUAGGCUGACUAGAAGUUCUAAAUCCUGUACAGUGGUACCCUCCCCUGUUUUGGGGGUGAAGAGUGCAGAUGAAAGUCAUUCUGGAGAUCAGCCUCAAUCCUGAAGCUGCCUAGGUACCCGGAGUCACAUCACUACUCUAGCACACUGUUUUCACUCAGGAAACAUGCAAAAAGACAAAGUAUACACAUUUCACCUGGCAUAUCUGUCCAUUGACUUUUGCUUUCACUAAUAAAACAUGAGUUGUUAGGAGGCAGGGUAAUUCUCUUUUUUUCUCUUUGCAGUCUGUACAGCAGAACCCAAAAUCAGGAUGAAAACAGCUCAAAGCAGCUCCUAGCUGACUGACAGGGGAAUAUGGAACAGUGUGAAGCCAGAGUCCAUAGAUUCAUAUCUGAAAGGAACCAGCAGGGGAAGAUAGGAGGCUUGCACUCACCUGGGCUUCAUUCAACUAGAGGAGCAUGCUCAAAACAUUCCAAGUUAAAGCCAGGCCUUUGAUCGAAACACUGAGAAGGGAGAGGCAGAGGAUCUCUGUGAGCAGGAGACCAGCCUGGUCUACAUAUCAAGUUCCAGGACAUUCAAGACUACAUAGAGAGACCCUGUCUCAAAGAAACAGCAAAAACAACAAAGAUCCGAGUUAAAUUUGGGAGAGGGGAUACCACAUAAGUGGUUUACAAAAGAGGAGUGCACUCCCACAUUUUCUGAAGAGAUGCACAACUACUACAAUGACUGUCCUGAAGGCCUUAUCACAGCAUCAUCGCCUGGAGGCAUCAUCACCUUUCUGGUUGGACUCCCAGAGGGAGGACUGCUCUAUUACAUAGUUAGGCCCUUGACACCCAACCUGUGAUUGCACAAUGGACUCUGGGUUGUUAGCAUUUGUUCUGUACUAAUGCCAUUAUAG
rnacentral:lncRNA from 1 species